AAUCAACGCUGGCGGCGCGCUUAACACAUGCAAGUCGCACGAGAAAGGGAGCAAUCCUGAGUAAAGUGGCGUACGGGUGAGUAACACGUGGAUCAUCUACCUUUUAGUGGGGGAAUACCUCCGGGAAACUGGAGACAAUACCGCAUAAGCUCGAAAGAGGAAAGCAGCAAUGCGCUGAAAGAGGGGUCCGCGGCAGAUUAGCUAGAUGGCGGGGCUAACGGCCCACCAUGGNGAAGAUCUGUAGCCGGCCUGAGAGGGCUCACGGCCACACUGGCACUGAAACACGGGCCAGACUCCUACGGGAGGCAGCAGUGGGGAAUCUUGCACAAUGGAGGAAACUCUGAUGCAGCGACGCCGCGUGAGUGAUGAAGCCCCUCGGGGUGUAAAAGCUCUUUCGACGGGAACGAUAAUGACGGUACCCGAAGAAGAAGCUGCGGCUACUACGUGCCAGCAGCCGCGGUAAUACGUAGGCAGCAAGCGUUGUUCGGAAUUACUGGGCGUAAAGAGUGUGUAGGCGGUGCUCUAAGUUUGGUGUGAAAAUCUCCCGGCUCAACUGGGAGGGUGCGCCGAAAAUCUGGAGUGCUAGAGGGUGGGAGAGGCAAGCGG
rnacentral:rRNA from 1 species